rnacentral:rRNA from 1 species
UACGUAGGUGGCAAGCGUUGUCCGGAUUUACUGGGCGUAAAGAGCGCGCAGGCGGUCGUUCAAGUCGCGUGUGAAAGCCCCCGGCUCAACUGGGGAGGGUCACGCGAUACUGAUCGACUCGAAGGCAGGAGAGGGUAGUGGAAUUCCCGGUGUAGUGGUGAAAUGCGUAGAUAUCGGGAGGAACACCAGUGGCGAAGGCGGCUCACUGGCCCGGUACUGACGCUGAUGAGCGAAAGCCAGGGGAGCAAACGGG